UUCAGACGAUCAGUUAGUCCCUCCCUGUUUCAGACCGCUUCGAUAAGUUUGGUGCCAAAGGAAUACGACCUGGGUGUUAUAGAGCCCCACUGUGGAGGUGGUGUCAUAAUACCCAUAACACCUAGCGGGUCAAAACAGGGAAAAGGUUCCAAUCUUUCUCUCACCAUACAUUUUUCCCCCCUAUAGGGGAUUUUAGAAAGAGUUAAAAUAAGGGCUGCGUUUGGUGUAGUUUACCCCAGUGUGACGUUUUAAUUACCAUGUAAAUCUCUCCAGGACAAGGUGACUUUUAUCAAUAUAUCUCCAGGACAAGGUGACUUUUAUCAAUAUAUCUCCAGGACAAGGUGACUUUUAUCAAUAUAUCUCCAGGACAAGGUGACUUUUAUCAAUAUAUCUCCAGGACAAGGUGACUUUUAUCAAUAUAUCUCUAGGACAAGGUGACUUUUAUCAAUAUAUCUCCAGGACAAGGUGACUUUUAUCAAUAUAUCUCUAGGACAAGGUGACUUUUAUCAAUAUAUCUCUAGGACAAGGUGACUUUUAUCAAUAUAUCUCUAGGACAAGGUGACUUUUAUCAAUAUAUCUCUAGGACAAGGUGACUUUUAUCAAUAUAUCUCUAGGACAAGGUGACUUUUAUCAAUAUAUCUCCAGGACAAGGUGACUUUUAUCAAUAUAUCUCUAGGACAAGGUGACUUUUAUCAAUAUAUCUCCAGGACAAGGUGACUUUUAUCAAUAUAUCUCCAGGACAAGGUGACUUUUAUCAAUAUAUCUCUAGGACAAGGUGACUUUUAUCAAUAUAUCUCCAGGACAAGGUGACUUUUAUCAAUAUAUCUCCAGGACAAGGUGACUUUUAUCAAUAUAUCUCUAGGACAAGGUGACUUUUAUCAAUAUAUCUCCAGGACAAGGUGACUUUUAUCAAUAUAUCUCUAGGACAAGGUGACUUUUAUCAAUAUAUCUCUAGGACAAGGUGACUUUUAUCAAUAUAUCUCUAGGACAAGGUGACUUUUAUCAAUAUAUCUCUAGGACAAGGUGACUUUUAUCAAUAUAUCUCCAGGACAAGGUGACUUUUAUCAAUAUAUCUCUAGGACAAGGUGACUUUUAUCAAUAUAUCUCUAGGACAAGGUGACUUUUAUCAAUAUAUCUCCAGGACAA